ACUGAGAGGGACAGAAAUGUGCCCCCAACACCACCUGAUGAAAUCCUUUCUUCCUCCAGUGGGAAUUGAAGAGAAAAAUAAGUAAAUAAAUAAAAAACCUAAGGGAAAAAGUUGUGGGAUUCUUUACAUUCUCAUUAUUUAUUAUUAUUACUGUGUUAUUUAUUAUUAUUAUUAUUAUUGUAGUUCUCCCCCCUGAUAAUAAGGGGAUAUAAUGCCGUUCCCAAAGCCAGCAGCAGGUUCUUGGGGCACAGCUUCUGCCUCUCCCCACCUCUACCACAGUCUGGAUAACUUUAGCAGGAGGCCAAAGCCCGUGGAACAGCAGAACAGAUGGAAAAGGCCAUUGGGGAGUGAUUGCUGAUGGGGAGGAGAGGGCAGUGGGUGGAGGAAUGUGGCUUUGGGAUGCAGCUAAGGCUGACAGCAAGUGGCAGCGUUGGGGUUUGGUGCUCCCAGUCACUGCACUCUGCUUCCAGCACUGGGUUCAGCUCUCCAAAUCACUGCACCCCACUCCCAGCGCCCUCCUUCCAAAAAUUCCCCUCAUCCCCCCCUCCCCUCUGUGCAAAACGAAACCCUGAAGCCCACAUUUUGCAACGUGGUGCACUUUCCCUUCUUCUCCCCUUCCCCAACGAAAAGCACAAACGCACACACAACAAAAAAACCCAAACAAACCCCAAACUUGUGCAGCUCAAGAAGCAACCUGCCCCCAGGCCCAACCCUAUAGCCCUAUAGAGACAAAUUCCCUCCCCAACCUUUAAGGUUCUGCCUCCAGCAGCCCCGACCGCUGUGCCACUCGGACAGGGGGAGAAUUUCAUCCCCAAAAGUCACUUUUAUUCCUCUGAAAUCACCUUUUAAUCCCUCUCUACGGAGCACAUUCUCACGUCCCAUCCCUUUUUCUAUCACAACCAUCGCUCCUGCCCAUAUUACAGCAUAGGGUGAAACACAGGCGGAAUAUUCUGCCCAUAUUUCCCCCACCCAAAAGGGAACUGGGAGGAACAGCGGACGCACACACACCACAAAUGACAGUUUUGAUUUCCACGUCCCGUUCGGAACGAUCCCAUUUGUUACACCGCGCGCGGAGAAGCGACCCCAUUGUUACGCCACGGCCCUAUUUGUGCACGCUUAAAAAUAAUCAAAUUCGCCCAAAGGACCCAAAUCUUCCCCCAGAUCAGCUUCGUCUCUCGAGCCCCGUGAAUGCAGAUGCGGAUUUCUUGUUGCUGAUAGAUUUAUUCUCGCUACCUCUCGCGGGCUGCGCUCCUCUGAGAGAGAGCUCUGAGUGCUUUUCGAGCUCAUUUUGUCACCCCGAUGCUAUGGACCACCGCAUCCCAAUGGCUGAGCCACCACCUGGAUGGCCGUAUGGAAACCACCCACCUCCCAGCAACCACACCUGCCCUUCACUUCGGUAAGGUAACCAAAGCAGAGGGUGAGGGCGAGGGGUUGGUUUUAUUUUUGCCCACUUACCGCACCUGGAAGCCCGGCCCGAUUCGGGGUGCUGCCCGCCGCCCCGUCCCGCUGCGCUCCCCGCAACGGGGGAACCCGCAGUGCUUUAUAGCAAAGGGAGCUGGGGGUGGUCCCCGCCCACAGGGUGCUGCCUGACAUCGGUAUUCAGAAGCACCGAAGGGAGGAUGACAACGGAGAGCGUCCUCUGUGCCCCCCGAGCGCCCGCCGGGACCCCUCCGCUCCGCGCCUCCCUUCCACAACACGCUCCUCAUUCCACACUUUUUUCCCUUAAAUACUCUCUCAAAUAUCACCUCCUCUCCAUCUCUCGGGCGUUGUUUUUUUACUCUAUUUUUCUCUUUUUUUUCCUUGCUUUUUUCUUUUUUCUUUUUUUUUUUUCCCUCCUUUCCCCCCUCCUUUCUCCCCCCCCCCCCCACCACCAAACCCGAAUGUUUCUGCGGCGAGUUUAUCAAAUUACGCGUGGCGACAAAAGAGCCAAAGUGCGUUUUCUUGAAGGCUUGGACAAUUGGGGAGCCAUCAAGGAAAUGAAAAGAAUGACAGAAAACCAAAGGCUUUUGUCAGAUGGAGGAACGCCAUCGGGAGAAGCGGGGUUGGGGCCCUUCGGCCGCGGCGCCUUUAUUUCUCUUUGGGUGCCUUUGGUUUCCUUCCCACUUUCUUUUCCCAGGUGUUAAAGUUGGGGCUGCGGGGGCGGCCGUGGCACCGCCGCUCAUUUUGGGGGGGAACGGAGCAAAUCGGCCAUUUCCCCUCUGCUUUUUAACAAGAUGCCAGUGUUUGAAAAGACAAACGAAGCCCCUUUAGAAAUGUGAGGCUGCCGAGAUAAUGACCGCGAUCUCGCUAAGACUGUAUGGGAACAGGUGAUGCUUUUUUCCCUUCCUUUCUUGUUCCCAUCCGCCCUUUGUUCGAUAUGAGACUGGAGAGAGACAGAAACGAGAUCAUCUCGAUAUUCCCCUUUUUGUGCACACCCAAGGAAUAGAGACGCGGCUUGGGCCGGCUCCAGGCUUUAUUAUAGACGGUGGCUACGGAAAUACACAACUGAAAAAGAAAACACCCUUUUAUUAUACAUUAUAAAGCAAGGAGGAGGGGAUCGGGGUCUGCUCAUCUGUAGGCUCAAAGCUCCGCACACCCAUUGAGGAGAUGCUCCGUGCGGCCGCAUCCCUCCACCCACCCACCCACCCACCCACCCAUCCAUCCUCCUGCCCGCAGGUGCACUCUGCCACCUGUCCCCAUUCCUCCGGCCCUUCUCCCACCCCAAAUCCUUCCCACCUCAAAGGCUUUGGGCCCCUCAUAGCAAGGAGAAUCCCAACCCCCAGCAGUGUCCCCAUGAGGCCGCACACCCGCGCCUUUGGGCUCCUCUUGCUCGCUUUGCUCCAUUAGGAGCAUUUUGCGCGUUCUCUCCUCCUGCAUGCGAAAACAGAAAGAUUUCAUCUCCUUGAUAGAUGGAAUAAGCAGGGAUUCAGCCAUCCUCCCCAGCAAACUGGUGAUAUUUCCUAUAAAUUCAUUAAUAAUCUCAACUUUCAAAAGUCUUUGCUCAGUGCCUCCUGGUUAGAAAUUGACACCGUGACACUUUUCCUGAGCGCUCUCCCCGUUUUCCUUCCUCACUUUCUGGAUUGUUUCCUGUUUUAUCUCCCCUCCUCAUACCUCUAACCUAAAAAUCCGAUGUAGGAGCCUUUCCGAAACGCAACCCUGCAGCCCCACUUGCUGUUCCUGCUCUUCUUUUCCCCAGCAAACUUCCUCUGGUACAACGAAACCCUUCUCCUAAAUAACUUCCCUUUGGAAAACCACCCGGCUUCCCCCUGCCCCGCUGCUCCGCCAGCAGCAGCUCACUGCUGGGAAGGGUGGGCUGCACUGCGAGGGAGUUUUGCAUCACGGCAAGAAGACAGCCACUAUUCUUCUCCAUGCCAUGCAGCCUUUGAGAGAAUUAAAAAGGCAUAACGAGAAACAUCUUACCCUGCUCGGAAGGAAAAUAAACUACGCCGGAGUCUCUCCCCUGUUCAUCCCCAAAGAAAAUGCCAGCGUAAUGCGAGACAGGGACGGCCGCGAGGGAGGGGCUCAUGUGUGCACGGCUGUGUUUGAAAGCCAUGAGACUUUGAAGAUGCUGCUGCAACACUAUCCGUACCCCGGACCUUUUAAUGCAAAACACCGCGGCGUGGAGGGCACGCUCUUCCAAAACUCGUGUUGCUCAUGGAACCAAGCAGCCGCGUCCCGUUGUCCAUCCGUUGUCUGUCCAUUGGGGCCAUUGGCUGCAUCCCGCUGGGCAGAGCGGGGAAAGGGGAAAGGGAGGGGGAAAUGAAAAGAAAGAAAACAAAACAAAGCCCAAAUGAGAAACACAUCCGCUGCAGGAAUGGGAGGAAGCGCCGCGUGGGGCUCAUUGUCUCCCUGGGUGCAGGAGUUUUUCUAGAAAUUGGGCUUUCUAGAAAAGCUCCAUUUCUUUCCAUUCUCUUUAUAUAUAUUUUUUUCUUUGUUAUUUUUGCUCAAAAUCCAGGAUGGUGGCCCGUUUUCUUUCCAUUUGUCUUUCUCUCUAUAUAUAUGUAUAUUAUUUGUGGCCCUAUGGCAGAACUCAUCCCUGAUUCGGCACUGGUGUGUUGCUGGUGGUUGGAGCACCCGACAAUUUGGGCACCCACCCAAGAGGAGGGAUGCCCCCCUCACCCCACACCUCCCCACCUGCUGCAUUCACGCCUCUCCAAGCUGAGGAGCCUGAAAUAAAGGAAAAUACCCUGGGAUGGGGCCACCCUUUUGCUGCAGAGUUAUUUCCACUACCUGGACCCUGAGUGCUCAGUGCACAGAGCUGUAGGAUGCUUUUCCCAGCCCCCCUCUCCCCCCCCAAAAAAAGUGAAUUCCAUUGAUCACCUUUUUCUUUCCCCCCCAUCACAAUUUAGCAUUAUACGUUCUGCUUCCUUCCAGCAACAUGGGAGGAAGGGAUGAUGUUCUCUUCAGCACCUCCAGGACCAGAAAACAGGAGGGGAGGUUGUGAGAGAGGAGAGGUAGUGGGGAAGAGGAAGAAAACAUUCUUCAGAAGUGAUAUUUUGGCACUGGGGAAAUCUGGGGAAUUGUCCACUUCUCCCAAGGACACAUGGGAUGAAGCUCUGCAUCUCUGCUUGUUUUCAUGCAAAAAUGCAUCAACCCCACUGCAGCCUGGACCUUUUGGUCUGUUUCUUUGGUCCUGCAAUGAAAACGGAUCACGAGGGCCACACUUGUGUUCAUAGCAUACACUGGUGACUCAUUUAUGGGGAAACGCUGGCUCUAAGUAUUUCUCCAUCUCCCUCUGUCCAGUUUCUCUAGUCUGCAUUUAGGAUUGCUGAGUUCCCAGGAAGGUGCUCCCAAGUCACAGAAUCAUGGAUGGCUUGGAUUGGAAGGGGCCUCAAAGUUCAUCCAGUUCCAAUGCUCCUACCAAGGGCUGGUUGCCAUCCACCAGAUCAGGAUGUCCAGACGUCCAUCCAACCUGACCUUGAACACCUUCAGGGAUGGGGCAUCCACAGCUUCUCUAGGUAGAAUCAUAGAACCAUAGAAUCAUAGAAUGGUUUGCGUUGGAAGGGACCCUUAAAGGCCAUCUGGUCCCACUCCCUGCAGUGAACAGGGACACCCACAGCUCCAUCAGAUGCUCACAGCCCCAUCCAGCCUGACCUUGUGUGUCUCCGGGAAUGGGGCACCACCACCUCUCUGAGCAACCUGUGCCAGUGCUUCAGUCCAGGGUGCUGAGGCACCAGAGAAACCUUUACAACAUAUUUUUGGAGUCCUGGGUGAAGCUGUACCUGCUGGUAAGCAGCGUGGGAAAGAAGCGGUUAACAUUACGGUGUGAGCCAGCACCUGUGUGUCUCCUCUCGAUCGAAACAGGGUUUUAAAUGCCUCCAACCUGCUAGCUUUAUGGUUUUGUUACCCUCUUUUUUUUUGUUUUGAGGCUUUGUUACUUAUAUGCAUUACCUAUAUUAUAUAUGUUAUAUCAUAGAAUUGUUAAGUCAUGAAACGACCUCUAAGUCCAACCAUCAACCUGUCACCACCGUGCCCACUAAGCAUGUUCCUCAAACAUACAUGGAGCAAGACAAUUUCUUUUCAUUCAGCAUGGUCCAGGCAAGUCAAAAAAAAGGAUACCCAUUUUAGGGGAAAUGGAGGCACCUAUUUUGGCAUGAGAUUCACAAGCAAAGGGCAGAUCCAUUGCUUCUUCUCCUGCCAGCAUCUCCCAUCUCAAGGGAGAGAGCCUUCUGGGAUGUCCCCAUCAGGACCUCCCCAAGGGGACAUCCCAAUAGCACUCCAGUGAAUCCUGCUUAGCUCCUGUAUGCAUGGGGUGUCCCCAAGGCCCGUAGGAGACGUGAUGGCCUCAAGUUGUGCCAACAGAGGUUCAGGUUGAAUAUUAGAAAAAAAAUCGUCUCCAAAAGAAUGAUCAGGCACUGGCACAGCUGCCCAGAGAGUAGUAGAGUCACUGCUGCAGGUGUUCAAGAACUGUUGAGAUGUGGCACUGAGGGACGUGGUCAGUGGGCAUGGUGGGAUGGGUUGGGGUUGGGCUUGGUGAUGUUAGAGGCCUUUUCCAGCCUUAAUGAUUCUAUGAAAUCUGUGCCCCCAGACUCCUGCAUCCAGAACCCAGGUAGGCACAGCACUCUGGACCAUCUCCCCUAACCAUCAGUAGGACUGCAACAAAUCUGGAGCUGCUCCAGCUCCGCUUGACCCCAUCAGUUGGAGCUCAGGGAUUUUAUCCGUGUCAGUCGCACCCAUGGAGCAGGGAGGACGGAUGGUGGUCAUAAUCCACAGUGUUCCUCAAGUGGCUGUAAGGGAUGGGAACAGAGAGCGAUGCUUGCAGUGCUGGGUCGGCCCCACUCUGCACUGCCUACCUCUCGCCAUAGACGGUUCUCAUUAAGCCCCGCAAUUGAUCUCCUGUCUUUAAAGGAAACAAGAAAGGAGGAACAAACCAAAAGGGAUCCUCCUUCCUCCAGCCCAGGGGAACAAAUCUGGCUUUAAUUUCUUUGCCUUUUUUCAUUCCAGUCAGGGAUUUCACUUUAACGACGCUGCCUUCCCCAUUCCUCUUCUGCUCCUCGAGAAACAGGAGAAUACCCCCUCUGCUUUCUAUGUUUCCUCUCUUUGUUGUGUGAUUUAUGAAAGGAGUUUUUCUUCGUGUAUCUUUCUUGCUGUGAGCUGAGGACCCCCAAAAAGGGGCCGCUCCCACCCCAGAGUUCAGAGGAGCCGCUCUGCCACAUGCAACGGGCUUUGGGCGGGCACGGAAGAGUCCAUCUCCAUUGGGAAGGUGCUCAAGGAGCAGAUCUUUGUAGUUGGUUUGGGAAUGGGCUUCAAACCGUUUGAGUUGGACAGGAUGACUUUUAACGAUCCCUUUGAAAUGAAAUGAUUCUAUGAUUUGCACACCGCUGAGUAGCUUUGGUCUGCGGAAAGGCGAACCAAUCCAGCACCCAGCAGGAGUCAGACUGACGAGGUGGGAGGAGGCAGAGAAACCAAUCCAUGCAGCACCCCCGGAGGAUGCUGCACAUGUCCCAAGGUGAUGGCAAUGGCACCUCCCUCCCUGCUCCACAGUGCUCACAGAGGAUGGAAGAAGGACCCUGCAUUGCUCUAUAGGGUGAGAUGACACCACGAGAAAGCAGCAUUUAGGAGCAGAACGGCCUUUUAAGGAGAAAAUGCAACCAAAAAAAUUGUCCUUUCACGGGGGGGGGCGGGGGGGGGGGAUGGAAAUAAAGAAAGACCCAAAUAUGUUUGUGUUGGUUGUUGUCCUUUUUCUCUUUCCCCUCUCAUUUGGCAUACACAUCAAGAAGUUAUUAAAAGGAACUUGUUAAAUAUCUCAUUAAUGAAGAUGAAUGAAGACUCAGAUUUGCUUCUAAACCGUUCAAAGCAGUUUUGUUCUGGCCUCCCAAAGUGCGUGUGUGUGUGGAGAGGGAUCCCAAUAGCUUAAAAUACUUCUUCUUUUUUAAAGCAGCUUUAACUGAUUUCAGCACUGGAGCGGCUGCUCCACACUCUGGGAGGGAGAGAUCAGCCUGGGACAUGAGAAAAUCAGUUUGCUGGGCACAGAAACACAUCAGGG
ensembl:lncRNA